AAAAAGGAUGGUCCCUCACUGCUCGGUCCAGCAGGAACCAAGGAGAAGCAAGGACGGGCCGCAAUAAAAGCCCCCGCGGUCGAAGAUGCUCUGACCGCGAGAAACGCAUGAUCGACCGCGGCUGCGUCUUUCUGAUCGCGGCCGAGCACCACUUCACCGCAGUCGCGUGACCUCUGACCGCGGUGAAUGGUCGUUGAGACGAAACCCGACCCCAAACCACCCACUUCACCUCAUUCCACCUCACCAAUCCCCACUCCACCUCAUUCAUCACUUCCCACCACCUUCAUCACCACCUAUCACAUUCCCAAACCUCUUCGAAUGAAUCCGG
rnacentral:lncRNA from 1 species